CUUACCAACUCUUGACAUCCCAUUGACCGCUUGAGAGAUCAAGUUUUCCCUUCGGGGACAAUGGUGACAGGUGGUGCAUGGUUGUCGUCAGCUCGUGUCGUGAGAUGUUGGGUUAAGUCCCGCAACGAGCGCAACCCCUAUCCUUAGUUGCCAGCAUUCAGUUGGGCACUCUAGGGAGACUGCCGGUGACAAACCGGAGGAAGGUGGGGAUGACGUCAAAUCAUCAUGCCCCUUAUGAGUUGGGCUACACACGUGCUACAAUGGACGGUACAAAGGGCAGCGAGACCGCGAGGUGGAGCCAAUCCCAUAAAGCCGUUCCCAGUUCGGAUUGCAGGCUGCAACUCGCCUGCAUGAAGUCGGAAUCGCUAGUAAUCGCAGGUCAGCAUACUGCGGUGAAUACGUUCCCGGGUCUUGUACACACCGCCCGUCACACCACGAGAGUUUGCAACACCCGAAGCCGGUGAGUAACCNNCAAGGAGCCAGCCGUCGAAGU
rnacentral:rRNA from 1 species